AUUGAACGCUGGCGGCAUGCCUUACACAUGCAAGUCGAACGGCAGCACGGGAGCAAUCCUGGUGGCGAGUGGCGAACGGGUGCGUAAUAUAUAGGAACGUGCCCAGUCGUGGGGGAUAACGCAGCGAAAGCUGUGCUAAUACCGAAUACGAUCUAAGGAUGAAAGCGGGGGAUCGCAAGACCUCGCGCGAUUGGAGUGGCCGUUAUCAGACUAGGAAGUUGGUGGGGUAAAGGCCCACCAAGGCGACGAUCUGUAGCGGGUCGGCGAGGGCAAGAAGCAAAACGGGAGCUGAAGCACGGGCGAGACUCCGAGGGGAGGCAGCGGUGGGGAAUUUUGGACAAGGAGGGCAAGCCUGCUCCAGCAAGGCCGCGUGCAGGAUGAAGGCCUUCGGGUUGUAAACUGCUUUUGUAGGGAACGAAACGGCCCUUUCUAAUACAGGGGGCUAAUGACGGUACCGUAAAAAUAAGCACCGGCUAACUACGUGCCAGCAGCCGCGGUAA
rnacentral:rRNA from 1 species